rnacentral:rRNA from 1 species
AUUGAACGCUGGCGGCAGGCCUAACACAUGCAAGUCGAGCGAGCGGCGGACGGGUGAGUAAUGUAUGGGGACUGCCCGAUAGAGGGGGAUACAUACUGGAAACGGUAGCUAAUACCGCAUACUACCGGAUAACCCCUAUGGGAUUAGCUAGUUGGUGGGGUAAAGGCUCACGAAGGCAACGAUCCGGAGCGGGUUUGUGAGGACGACCAGCCACAGUGGGACUGGGACACGGCCCAGACUCCGACGGAGGCAGCAGUGGGGAAUUUUGGACAAUGGGGGAAACCCUGAUCCAGCCAUCCCGCGUGUAUGAGGAAGGCCUUCGGGUUGUAAAGUACUUUUGGCCGGGAGGCGGUAUCUGAAGAAUAAGCACCGGCUAACUACGUGCCAGCAGCCGCGGUAAUUC